AAAUUGAAAAUCAGAAACCUUAACCUAAUUUCCUCCAACCCUCAGCAGCUGCCAGCCACACUUCCUUACCUCAAUGGUCACACAACACAGAGCAGAGAAAGAGAUUUGCGGGAAGAAGAGAAAGAAAACGUUGCUGCCGCCGCGCUUGACUGCUGCCGCCGUCGUCCUCAUCGCGCACCGCCACCGUCCAGCAGGUCGUCAUGCCGAGCUCGUUCCACCACCGUCAACACUGCCAUGAAGAAGAGAAGACGACGUCAUAACGCGAGCCAAGGCCGAGAGGAAGGGGACGUUGCUGUGCCUUCAACGCGACCGAUCCGCCGCUGCCACUGGUAGGGUUCUGUCGCCGCCGUUCAUGGAGCUUCGAUUAGCGUCACUGUCAUCGCAUACCAGAGGAGAGGGGAGCUCGUGUGUGAAGAGUAGCGCCGCUGUGCCUCCGUCGCGCCUUCAUCACCAUCGAAUUGUCUUGCUGUUGCUAGCCUCAUAGCCACUUCUGAGGCUGCGCCGCCGUGCCUCUGGUCAUGGGUGGAGUCCACUCCAAGCUGUCACCAUCACAGAAUACACGCAGAGGAGAGGGAGAAAGGAUCUCCACCGCUGUCAAGGUCGCUAGUGAGUCGUGCACUGUCACCAGAGUCUAAAACAGCACCAGCCUUCUUGUUCUGGUUCUGAUAUUCCUAUUCUUGAACCUGUGAUAGUGUCGGUGAUAAUAAAGAACUGUUGGAGUUGCUGCUGCUGCUGCUGUUCCGGCCGCAUUGGCUGUUGUAAACUGGGAAAAAGAAAGGGAUCGUUGCGUUUAAAUUCGACGGUUUCGACUAAUUGAGUGACACAGGUUCGAAGAUACAGUUUGAAGCUGCGGGCGAUUAUAGAAUUUAUUUAUGAGUUAAAUGUAUGAGUUAAUUUGCUUUCAUAGAAUUCCCUCGCUUUUGUUACUUUAGUUUUUAUUUUACACAGAGGGAUAGGAUUUGUAUCUAAGUUUUAUUGGAAAUCUUUUGUAUGACAGAUAUUAUUAUUAGUAAUUAUGUGAUUAUUAUUA